GACGAACGCUGGCGGCGUGCUUAACACAUGCAAGUCGAACGGUAAGGCCCUUCGGGGUACACGAGUGGCGAACGGGUGAGUAACACGUGGGUGAUCUGCCCCGCACUUCGGGAUAAGCCUGGGAAACUGGGUCUAAUACCGGAUAGGACCCUGGGAUGCAUGUCCUGGGGUGGAAAGCUUUUGCGGUGUGGGAUGGGCCCGCGGCCUAUCAGCUUGUUGGUGGGGUGAUGGCCUACCAAGGCGACGACGGGUAGCCGGCCUGAGAGGGUGACCGGCCACACUGGGACUGAGAUACGGCCCAGACUCCUACGGGAGGCAGCAGUGGGGAAUAUUGCACAAUGGGCGCAAGCCUGAUGCAGCGACGCCGCGUGAGGGAUGACGGCCUUCGGGCUGUAAACCUCUUUCAGCACCGACGAAGCGCAAGUGACGGUAGGUGCAGAAGAAGGACCGGCCAACUACGUGCCAGCCGCCGCAGUAA
rnacentral:rRNA from 1 species